rnacentral:rRNA from 1 species
UACGAAGGGGCUAGCGUUGUUCGGAAUCACUGGGCGUAAAGCGCACGCAGGCGGAUCGUUAAGUCAGGGGUGAAAUGCCGAGGCUCAACCUCGGAACUGCCUUUGAUACUGGCGAUCUUAGAGUCCGGGAGAGGUGAGUGGAACUCCGAGUGUAGAGGUGAAAUUCGUAGAUAUUCGGAAGACACCAGUGGCGAAGGCGGCUCACUGGCCCGGUACUGACGCUCAGGUGCGAAAGCGUGGGAGCAACAGGGA